UAGCGAAGGCAAGUGAACACGGCCUGCAGAGCCCAGCAGGGAGGCUGCAGACUGGUGGCCCUUCGUCAGAGGCAGGAGACCCUCGGCCCAGAAGCUCGGAAGCAGCUGUGCCUUCAGGAUGGUUCCCUUCACGCAAGCAGCUUAUUUCAUUUUCUUGUUUGCUACAGUCUCCUGUGGAUGCCUACCUCAACAAUAUGAGACUGUCUUCUUCAGAGGAGGGGAUGUGACCGCCAUGUACACCCCGAGCGCCCGUCACUGCCAGGUGAUGUGCACCUUCCACCCCAGGUGUUUGUCAUUCAGUUUUCUCCCUGCAAGUAUAACUAACGGCACAGAUA